rnacentral:rRNA from 1 species
UUAAGCGACUAAGCGUACACGGUGGAUGCCCUGGCAGUCAGAGGCGAUGAAGGACGUGCUAAUCUGCGAUAAGCGUCGGUGAGGUGAUAUGAACCGUUAUAACCGGCGAUUUCCGAAUGGGGAAACCCAGUGUGAUUCGUCACACUAUCAUUAACUGAAUCCAUAGGUUAAUGAGGCGAACCGGGGGAACUGAAACAUCUAAGUACCCCGAGGAAAAGAAAUCAACCGAGAUUCCCCCAGUAGCGGCGAGCGAACGGGGAGGAGCCCAGAGCCUGAAUCAGUGUGUGUGUUAGUGGAAGCGUCUGGAAAGGCGCGCGAUACAGGGUGACAGCCCCGUACACAAAAAUGCACAUACUGUGAGCUCGAUGAGUAGGGCGGGACACGUGGUAUCCUGUCUGAAUAUGGGGGGACCAUCCUCCAAGGCUAAAUACUCCUGACUGACCGAUAGUGAACCAGUACCGUGAGGGAAAGGCGAAAAGAACCCCGGCGAGGGGAGUGAAAAAGAACCUGAAACCGUGUACGUACAAGCAGUGGGAGCCUCUUAAUGGGGUGACUGCGUACCUUUUGUAUAAUGGGUCAGCGACUUAUAUUCUGUAGCAAGGUUAACCGAAUAGGGGAGCCGAAGGGAAACCGAGUCUUAACUGGGCGUUAAGUUGCAGGGUAUAGACCCGAAACCCGGUGAUCUAGCCAUGGGCAGGUUGAAGGUUGGGUAACACUAACUGGAGGACCGAACCGACUAAUGUUGAAAAAUUAGCGGAUGACUUGUGGCUGGGGGUGAAAGGCCAAUCAAACCGGGAGAUAGCUGGUUCUCCCCGAAAGCUAUUUAGGUAGCGCCUCGUGAAUUCAUCUCCGGGGGUAGAGCACUGUUUCGGCAAGGGGGUCAUCCCGACUUACCAACCCGAUGCAAACUGCGAAUACCGGAGAAUGUUAUCACGGGAGACACACGGCGGGUGCUAACGUCCGUCGUGAAGAGGGAAACAACCCAGACCGCCAGCUAAGGUCCCAAAGUCAUGGUUAAGUGGGAAACGAUGUGGGAAGGCCCAGACAGCCAGGAUGUUGGCUUAGAAGCAGCCAUCAUUUAAAGAAAGCGUAAUAGCUCACUGGUCGAGUCGGCCUGCGCGGAAGAUGUAACGGGGCUAAACCAUGCACCGAAGCUGCGGCAGCGACACUAUGUGUUGUUGGGUAGGGGAGCGUUCUGUAAGCCUGUGAAGGUGUGCUGUGAGGCAUGCUGGAGGUAUCAGAAGUGCGAAUGCUGACAUAAGUAACGAUAAAGCGGGUGAAAAGCCCGCUCGCCGGAAGACCAAGGGUUCCUGUCCAACGUUAAUCGGGGCAGGGUGAGUCGACCCCUAAGGCGAGGCCGAAAGGCGUAGUCGAUGGGAAACAGGUUAAUAUUCCUGUACUUGGUGUUACUGCGAAGGGGGGACGGAGAAGGCUAUGUUGGCCGGGCGACGGUUGUCCCGGUUUAAGCGUGUAGGCUGGUUUUCCAGGCAAAUCCGGAAAACCAAGGCUGAGGCGUGAUGACGAGGCACUACGGUGCUGAAGCGACAAAUGCCCUGCUUCCAGGAAAAGCCUCUAAGCAUCAGGUAACAUCAAAUCGUACCCCAAACCGACACAGGUGGUCAGGUAGAGAAUACCAAGGCGCUUGAGAGAACUCGGGUGAAGGAACUAGGCAAAAUGGUGCCGUAACUUCGGGAGAAGGCACGCUGAUAUGUAGGUGAAGCGACUUGCUCGUGGAGCUGAAAUCAGUCGAAGAUACCAGCUGGCUGCAACUGUUUAUUAAAAACACAGCACUGUGCAAACACGAAAGUGGACGUAUACGGUGUGACGCCUGCCCGGUGCCGGAAGGUUAAUUGAUGGGGUUAGCGGCAACGCGAAGCUCUUGAUCGAAGCCCCGGUAAACGGCGGCCGUAACUAUAACGGUCCUAAGGUAGCGAAAUUCCUUGUCGGGUAAGUUCCGACCUGCACGAAUGGCGUAAUGAUGGCCAGGCUGUCUCCACCCGAGACUCAGUGAAAUUGAACUCGCUGUGAAGAUGCAGUGUACCCGCGGCAAGACGGAAAGACCCCGUGAACCUUUACUAUAGCUUGACACUGAACAUUGAGCCUUGAUGUGUAGGAUAGGUGGGAGGCUUUGAAGUGUGGACGCCAGUCUGCAUGGAGCCGACCUUGAAAUACCACCCUUUAAUGUUUGAUGUUCUAACGUUGGCCCGUAAUCCGGGUUGCGGACAGUGUCUGGUGGGUAGUUUGACUGGGGCGGUCUCCUCCUAAAGAGUAACGGAGGAGCACGAAGGUUGGCUAAUCCUGGUCGGACAUCAGGAGGUUAGUGCAAUGGCAUAAGCCAGCUUGACUGCGAGCGUGACGGCGCGAGCAGGUGCGAAAGCAGGUCAUAGUGAUCCGGUGGUUCUGAAUGGAAGGGCCAUCGCUCAACGGAUAAAAGGUACUCCGGGGAUAACAGGCUGAUACCGCCCAAGAGUUCAUAUCGACGGCGGUGUUUGGCACCUCGAUGUCGGCUCAUCACAUCCUGGGGCUGAAGUAGGUCCCAAGGGUAUGGCUGUUCGCCAUUUAAAGUGGUACGCGAGCUGGGUUUAGAACGUCGUGAGACAGUUCGGUCCCUAUCUGCCGUGGGCGCUGGAGAACUGAGGGGGGCUGCUCCUAGUACGAGAGGACCGGAGUGGACGCAUCACUGGUGUUCGGGUUGUCAUGCCAAUGGCACUGCCCGGUAGCUAAAUGCGGAAGAGAUAAGUGCUGAAAGCAUCUAAGCACGAAACUUGCCCCGAGAUGAGUUCUCCCUGAGACUUAGAGUCUCCUGAAGGAACGUUGAAGACGACGACGUUGAUAGGCCGGGUGUGUAAGCGCAGCGAUGCGUUGAGCUAACCGGUACUAAUGAACCGUGAGGCUUAACCUU